CGAGGACAAUCGUGAAGGGGCGAAGGGGGAAACCCGCAUAUAAGCGAGCUCCUACAGUGUUUGACUUACUAAGAAGUGAUGGGGAUCCUAGAGGAAAGCGUGAAAGUGGUGGAGUUUGUCAGAUGCCUAUAACGAAUUUGGGUGCAGGCAGCCAGGAGGUGUGCAUGGGAGCUGCGUGUAGGAGUUUGGGGGACCGCAUCAGGGAGCAUGGGGGGAAUGUGCAAGCGGCGAGCUUGGCAGCGGCGCUGGCGGCUGGAGCAUGCGAGAGCGGUGUGGAUGUUGAGUGGCAGGAGGCCGGGAUGGUCAGCCAAAUCGCGGGCGGAUUCGAAUUGCCGAUGGCGGAGAGCUUGCAGAUGGUGAAGAGCAGCAAAUUUGCAAAGGUUAUGAGUGGCCGAGGGGUUGAGGAGCUCCCGAAGCCCU
rnacentral:lncRNA from 1 species